CAUAGAAAUCAAAACCCCUUCAAGGGCUUUGACUGUGUCUCUCCCUCUCUUUCUCUGCAGCAUCUCUCAAUGCACCUGAGGCAGAGCUCAUCGGUUAGGCCUGACGGCUCCAGCUCUGACAUCUGAGAAAUCAUUUUUUCUUCAGCAAACAAUAUUUUCACACAGUUCUACUGAUCUCCCUCCCCUGGACACAAACAGACACACAGGAACCGUCAGGCCGUACUUUGACUGAAUGAUGCUGAAAUUGUUGGGACUGCUAGAAAACUCACGAUUUGGUGAGAACUGCUAACAAUUGCUCCUUCAAAAAGUCUUCAAAAAUGGCAUUUUUUACACUUGGUUGAUAACUUUAACUGGAUAAACUGUUUCUCUUUGAGAUUUUGUCUAAUUAAAAAAUACUUUUUAUA